GCUCAGGAUGAACGCUGGCGGCGUGCCUAAUACAUGCAAGUCGAGCGACUGAUUAGAAGCUUGCUUCUAUGACGUUAGCGGCGGACGGGUGAGUAACACGUGGGCAACCUGCCUGUAAGACUGGGAUAACUUCGGGAAACCGAAGCUAAUACCGGAUAGGAUCUUCUCCUUCAUGGGAGAUGAUUGAAAGAUGGUUUCGGCUAUCACUUACAGAUGGGCCCGCGGUGCAUUAGCUAGUUGGUGAGGUAACGGCUCACCAAGGCAACGAUGCAUAGCCGACCUGAGAGGGUGAUCGGCCACACUGGGACUGAGACACGGCCCAGACUCCUACGGGAGGCAGCAGUAGGGAAUCUUCCGCAAUGGACGAAAGUCUGACGGAGCAACGCCGCGUGAGUGAUGAAGGCUUUCGGGUCGUAAAACUCUGUUGUUAGGGAAGAACAAGUACGAGAGUAACUGCUCGUACCUUGACGGUACCUAACCAGAAAGCCACGGCUAACUACGUGCCAGC
rnacentral:rRNA from 2 species